rnacentral:rRNA from 1 species
GACGAACGCUGGCGGCGUGCUUAACACAUGCCAGUCGAACGGAAAGGCCCUGCUUUUGUGGGGUGCUCGAGUGGCGAACGGGUGAGUAACACGUGAGUAACCUGCCCUUGACUUUGGGAUAACUUCAGGAAACUGGGGCUAAUACCGGAUAGGAGCUCCUGCUGCAUGGUGGGGGUUGGAAAGUUUCGGCGGUUGGGGAUGGACUCGCGGCUUAUCAGCUUGUUGGUGGGGUAGUGGCUUACCAAGGCUUUGACGGGUAGCCGGCCUGAGAGGGUGACCGGCCACAUUGGGACUGAGAUACGGCCCAGACUCCUACGGGAGGCAGCAGUGGGGAAUAUUGCACAAUUGGCGGAAGCCUGAUGCAGCAACGCCGCGUGCGGGAUGACGGCCUUCGGGUUGUAAACCGCUUUCGCCUGUGACGAAGCGUGAGUGACGGUAAUGGGUAAAGAAGCACCGGCUAACUACGUG